rnacentral:misc_RNA from 1 species
CAGCGGAGCUCGGGUUCGCUCGUAGAACGAGAAAUACGAAUAUUUCGACGCAUGCGUUGAUCGCGAUCGUUUUCAACAGAAUCGCACGGUACGAGUGGUAAGCAUUGAAACAGCGCGAAGUGCAUUAUUUUUUCGACGGUGAAAAAUAAGAAAUAAAAAUGGAAAAAAUUCGCAAUCGAAUGGACCGAAGUAAAAUAUUGUCGAGGCACAAUGGACGUGCACAUUGAUUGUGUAACUAUACCGAUGAUAGAGGUUUCUAUUCUUGUUUUGGGUCGAUAUCAACGUUGUGUAAAAUAUAGGGCAUUUCAAGCGAUAAGAAAAUUGAAAAAAAAAUUACAAGUUCGAACCCUGAGAGUUUUAGUUCAAAGUUGAGACUGUUCCAGGUGAUCGUGGUGUGUCCAGUUGGAAUUAUUAUUGUCAUUGUGGGGUCCCAGGUGAGACCUCCCGGGCAGUCCUCUUCCGUGAGGGAGUCGCAUUCGAGGGGUGAACAAACGCAGGAUAAUGCCCUGGCGACGGCGACAGACAGGACGACAAUACCGCCGAGAAGGACUAGAGGGACUUUCAUGUUUUGCGGUGAGUUUGGUGGGGGAUAUUUUUUCUUUCUCUCUCUCUCUCUCUCUACCUUUCCUCUCUAUUUUUUAUUUUCUAUUUCCCUCCGUAU